UUAUCACCGUUCAUUUACACACAGUUCAUUCAACACCUAACUCAAUGCCGUCGGACCUCGGUACCGCCGUCGGACCUCGGUACCACCUUCGCCGGAGCUAAUUGACACCACAGUCAUCGGUACCACCUUCGUCGGAGCUAAUCGGCACCACAGUCGUCGGAGCUAAUCGCUUAAAGAUCUUAUAAUCGGCCAAGGUUAGUUGUGAUUUCCGGUCAAAUCUUGUCACAGAUCUCGUUUAUGGUGUUAGGUGUUUGCUUUAUCGAGUUUUGUGUUUAGAGGUGCGGUGAUUUUGAGAGACGGUGGUGGGAUUUUUAGGGAAGAUGUCAGCGGUGGUAGGUUUUUAGGGAAGAUGUCGGCGGUGGUAGAUUUUUUUGGGGAAGAUGUCGGCGGUGGGGGUGGUAGCAGGUGGUGGUGGCUGUUAGGGUUGAUGGUGAGGUGGUGACUGUUGGUGGUGGUGGUUGUUGGUGAUGGAGAAAAGAGGGGGUGUAGAGAGAAGAUAGAUGCUAGAGAGAGAUGAUCAGAUAUGAGUUUUAUCAAAUAUUAUUAUUCUUUGAUAUAUUUAUUUGUAGUUUUACUAAUAUACCCUUACUUUUAUACUUUAAGU
rnacentral:lncRNA from 1 species